rnacentral:rRNA from 1 species
AUUGAACGCUGGCGGCAGGCCUAACACAUGCAAGUCGAGCGGAGCGGCGGACGGGUGCGUAAUGCCUAUGAAUCUGCCUGGUAGUGAGGGAUAACGACCGGUAACGGGCGCUAUUACCGCAUACUCACAGAUGAGCCUGGGUCGGAUUAGGUAGUUGGUGGGGUAAAGGCCUAGCAAGGCGAAGAUCCGUAACUGGUCUGAGAGGAGGAUCAGUCACACUGGAACUGAGACACGGUCCAGACUCCUACGGGAGGCAGCAGUAGGGAAUAUUCGGCAAUGGGCGAAAGCCUGAUCGAGCCAUGCCGCGUGUGUGAAGAAGGUCUUCGGAUUGUAAAGCUCUGUUGGUUGAGAAGCGUUACCUACAGAGAAAGCACCGGCUAACUACGUGCCAGCCGCCGCGGUAAUAC